GACAGAGGGUGCAAACGUUGCUCGGAAUUACUGGGCGUAAAGCGCGUGUAGGCGGUCACGCAAGUCAGGUGUGAAAGCCCAGGGCUCAACCCUGGAAGUGCACAUGAUACUACGUGGCUGGAGUACUGAAGAGGAGAGCGGAAUUCCCGGUGUAGAGGUGAAAUUCGUAGAUAUCGGGAGGAACACCAGUGGCGAAGGCGGCUCUCUGGGCAGAGUACUGACGCUGAGACGCGAAAGCGUGGGGAGCGAACGAG
rnacentral:rRNA from 1 species